rnacentral:rRNA from 1 species
AUGCUGAGGUCCGAUGACGAGUCACUACGGUGAUGAAGUAGCUCAUGCCCCGCUUCCAGGAAAAGCCUCUAAGCUCUAGAUUAUCAUUAAUCGUACCCCAAACCGACACAGGUGGUCAGGUAGAGAAUACUCAGGCGCUUGAGAGAACUCGGGUGAAGGAACUAGGCAAAAUGGUGCCGUAACUUCGGGAGAAGGCACGCUGGCGCUAGGUGAAGUCCCUUGCGGAUGGAGCUGAAGCCAGUCGCAGAUACCAGCUGGCUGCAACUGUUUAUUAAAAACACAGCACUGUGCAAACACGAAAGUGGACGUAUACGGUGUGACGCCUGCCCGGUGCUGGAAGGUUAAUUGAUGGGGUUAUCCGUAAGGAGAAGCUCUUGAUCGAAGCCCCAGUAAACGGCGGCCGUAACUAUAACGGUCCUAAGGUAGCGAAAUUCCUUGUCGGGUAAGUUCCGACCUGCACGAAUGGCGUAAUGAUGGCCAGGCUGUCUCCACCCGAGACUCAGUGAAAUUGAACUCGCUGUGAAGAUGCAGUGUACCCGCGGCAAGACGGAAAGACCCCGUGAACCUUUACUAUAGCUUGACACUGAACAUUGAGCCUUGAUGUGUAGGAUAGGUGGGAGGCUUUGAAGUGUGGACGCCAGUCUGCAUGGAGCCAACCUUGAAAUACCACCCUUUAAUGUUUGAUGUUCUAACGUAGCCCCGUUAUCCGGGGUGCGGACAGUGUCUGGUGGGUAGUUUGACUGGGGCGGUCUCCUCCCAAAGAGUAACGGAGGAGCACGAAGGUUGGCUAAGCAUGGUCGGACAUCAUGCGGUUAGUGCAAAGGCAUAAGCCAGCUUGACUGCGAGAGUGACGGCUCGAGCAGGUACGAAAGUAGGUCUUAGUGAUCCGGUGGUUCUGAAUGGAAGGGCCAUCGCUCAACGGAUAAAAGGUACUCCGGGGAUAACAGGCUGAUACCGCCCAAGAGUUCAUAUCGACGGCGGUGUUUGGCACCUCGAUGUCGGCUCAUCACAUCCUGGGGCUGAAGUAGGUCCCAAGGGUACGGCUGUUCGCCGUUUAAAGUGGUACGCGAGCUGGGUUUAGAACGUCGUGAGACAGUUCGGUCCCUAUCUGCCGUGGGCGUUGGAAGAUUGAAAGGGGCUGCUCCUAGUACGAGAGGACCGGAGUGGACGCACCACUGGUGUUCGGGUUGUCAUGCCAAUGGCAUUGCCCGGUAGCUAAGUGCGGAAGAGAUAACCGCUGAAAGCAUCUAAGCGGGAAACUUGCCUUGAGAUGAGUCUUCCCUGACUCUUUAAGGGUCCUAAAGGAACGUUUAAGACUAAGACGUUGAUAGGUUGGGUGUGUAAGCGUAGCGAUA